rnacentral:rRNA from 1 species
UACGGAGGGUGCAAGCGUUAUCCGGAUUCACUGGGUUUAAAGGGUGCGUAGGUGGCUUUGUAAGUCAGUGGUGAAAGCCCGGAGCUCAACUCCGGAACUGCCAUUGAUACUGCUUAGCUUGAAUCAGGUCGAGGUGGAUGGAAUAUUACAUGUAGCGGUGAAAUGCUUAGAUAUGUAAUAGAACACCAAUUGCGAAGGCAGUUCACUAGGCCUGUAUUGACACUGAGGCACGAAAGCGUGGGGAUCAAACAGG